GGACUAGUUAAUUACUAAACUGGCAGUUUCUAACAGUUUGUACACGUAGAGCAGUUUCCUAAGACAAGAGGUACUUAUUUUAUUUUUCUGAAAGUUUGUUGACUGAAACGUAAAUUCGGAAACAUUCAGGCCUCUCCACAGACAUUAUCCAAUCACCUUCUCCCACAAAUUCUGGAGAUGAACCUAGAAUCCGGCGGAGGUGCACCCAACUCCGGCAAAGUCAUAAUAAACUCGACCAAAAAUCGAAACUAAAUAACCGAAACACUUUCUAACCUUCGUCCGACGCUAACUGUAGGCUUUAGAGAGUGUGGGUCGUUCCAGAAGUAGCAAUCCGAAAUUCCAAGAGAUCACCUCCAACGAGCUCCGACUUCUGAUAAGUCAAGACCGAAAUUGACUCAACGAACCUGGACACAAGAACUACGGAAAGACACCGAUUGUAAGGGGAAACGAAUCUCUUACCUGAGUUAAGGAGGGAGGAUCGACCGGCGAUUGGAAAGAAGAGAUCACCCGCCGUCGAAGCUCGCCGGUCACAGAGGAAGAAGGCUGCUAUUGUUCGCUCGUUGACGCCGAGGAGCAAGUCUCUGACUGCGGAAGUCACCAAAGAUGGGAUGUAGGGUUUAGGUGUCGGGAAAACGAAGUUUAAAUAGAAGAUGUGGGCUUGAUAGAAGGGCAGAGCUCGUCGCCGGAAAAUUCGCCCGAUCUCCGAGCUGGAACGAAGAAGACGGAGGAGAAGCGCUCACGUCACUGCCACGUCGCCAUCUUCUGCCAUGAGUCCUCAGCUGAGUCAGCAACACUAAUCUAAACGGCGUCGUUUAGCUUUGAGGAGGAGGAAAAAAAAGACAAGAAAGCUGUACCUGCGGAUCGAACCAAUAACCUCAAAUAUAUUAGUAUAGUUACUUAUCCACCAAACUACAAAUCAUUUAUUGAUUAGCUCUCG
rnacentral:lncRNA from 1 species